AUUGAACGCUGGCGGCAUGCUUUACACAUGCAAGUCGAACGGCAGAAUGGGUGCUUGCACCUGAUGGCGAGUGGCGAACGGGUGAGUAAUGUAUCGGAACAUGUCCGGAAGUGGGGGAUAACGUAGCGAAAGUUACGCUAAUACCGCAUAUGCCCUGAGGGGGAAAGGAGGGGAUCGCAAGACCUUUCGCUUUCGGAGUGGCCGAUAUCAGAUUGGCUUGUUGGUGAGGUAAAGGCUCACCAAGGCGACGAUCUGUAGCUGGUCUGAGAGGACGACCAGCCACACUGGGACUGAGACACGGCCCAGACUCCUACGGGAGGCAGCAGUGGGGAAUUUUGGACAAUGGGGGCAACCCUGAUCCAGCCAUGCCGCGUGAGUGAAGAAGGCCUUCGGGUUGUAAAGCUCUUUCGGACAGAAAGAAAUCGCCAUCUCUAAUAUAGGUGGUGGAUGACGGUACUGUAAGAAGAAGCACCGGCUAACUACGUGCCAGCCGCCGCCGUAAUAC
rnacentral:rRNA from 1 species